rnacentral:rRNA from 1 species
UACGUAGGGGGCACGCGUUGUCCGGAAUCAUUGGGCGUAAAGAGCGUGUAGGCGGCCAGAUAAGUCCGCUGUGAAAUCUCGAGGCUCAACGUCGAGCUGUCGGUGGAAACUGUCUGGCUAGAGUCCGGAAGAGGAGAAUGGAAUUCCUGGUGUAGCGGUGAAAUGCGCAGAUAUCAGGAAGAACACCCGUGGCGAAGGCGGUUCUCUGGGACGGUACUGACGCUGAGACGCGAAAGCGUGGGGAGCGAACAGG